rnacentral:tRNA from 1 species
GACGCGGUAGCUCAGCUGGUGAGAGCGUCGGAUUCAUAACCCGGAGGUCGGGGGUUCGAAUCCCCCCCGCGUCA